CACAUAAAAAGGUAAUAUAUUCCGAACUGACAUUGGUCGCCAAAUUGUCAAAACAUGACAAUUUGGCGACCAAUGUCAGCUACCGAAUUCUUAAUUGCUUCAAAUUACCGACGAAAAACGCACAAAAACCGAAAAACCACGCACACCACUAAUUUUUCAAGAAUUAUCGACCAUUUUCCGAGAAGAAACACGAAGAAAUUGUUUUUAUUUCAAUUUAUAAUUUUUUCAAAUGACAUUUUAUAAAUUAAAACAAAAACAAAUUUCCUGUUUACUGCGAUUGAAAUAUAAAAAUUAAAGGCCGACCUGACAGAUUGGUGCCCAUUUUUCACAAACAAAUUUUGACAACGUUCGGAAUAUAUUACCUUAUUAUGUGUACUGUGAUUAGUCUCCAAGCUGGCGCAGACGGUCCUUCCAAGUUCCAAUCCUCAGCAGCAUAAACCCAACAGCAAGCCAAAUGAUAAGAAAUUAAAAGCGCGCGGAAAGUUCUCAGACAUGAAUCCAAAAGGUUUAUUCUUCUUUUUAGAUUUAUUAAUUUGUAUUUCUCUUGAUAACAUUUCCUUAUUUCUUUGUAAAAAAAAAACUAAAAGUUAAAAUUUCCUACUGCUGUGAUGAUCUAUGCCUAUCCUGAGAUAAUGUUUGAGGAAAAUUGCUCUCUUGUAAGAAACACAAAUGGACUUUAUCACUGCAAUCUCAGGUUAAUGUCAAUUUGGAAGUAAUUGUAUUGCAGUUCCUGCAUUGAAUAGAACUAGAAUAGAACCUUGCAGAUUUCAUUUUGGGUGUCGUCAUCAAAAUAAGCUAAAAUUCCACAAAGGUGAUUUUGUCCAUCAUGCAACCAAGUCUGCGACAAAUUGCCAAAAUUUUAUAUUCAGCUUGUUGUCAUUCUGCUCUUUUCCUUUCAAAAAUAACUCUAGUAAUAUUUUUGAAUACAAGUUUGAUAAUUAUAAGAUCAAACAAUUACCACGUCCAAAAUGUGAAAAGAAAGUACCUAAUGGCUGCCUGUAUUGCCGAAUGGCCAUGUUGGAAUUCCAAACCAACUUCAUGC